GACAGGUGUAGACAUGGGUAUUACACAUAGUGGGGUUUCUUUCAACAAGCUAAAGCAUUUGGGGGACAUCAGAAAGCUGCAGAUUUAACCUUCUUCAUUUUAUCAGGAUGGCAGUUAAUUUCCUAAUACAAGGUUGACAGAAAACACGAUUAUAGCAGAUAGAGAGAGUUGGUAUUCUGUCCAGCAGUGUUUUGCUGUUAGUGAAGAUGGCGCAAGCACUGUCAGAAGAGGAGUUCCACCGUAUGCAGGCUCAGCUCUUGGAGCUGAGAACACAGAACUACCAACUCUCUGAUGAGCUGCGGAAAAAUACUGCAGAACUCAACAGUGUCCGUCAGAAGACCUCGAACCUGGAGAAAGAAUAUGUCAAAGCGCAGAAGGCCUUGAACAAGAGCAAGAAAGCACAGGAGGUAGAUGCCUUACUCAGUGAGAAUAAAAUGCUUCAGGGCAAGUUACACAGUCAGGAAGAUGACUUCAGACUGCAGAACAGCACCCUCAUGCAAGAGCUGUCCAAGUUAUGUUCCCAGAUCGAGCAAUUAGAAUUAGAGAAUCGGAGACUGAGGGAGGGUCAAGGGCUGGAAGGACCCGCCUCUAGCCCCGCCUCUGGUCCAGUGGAUGCUGAACUCCUCCGUCUACAGGCUGAAAACUCCGCCCUGCAGAAGAAAUUAAGAGCUCUUCAAGAAUGUGCAGAUGUUAAUGAUGGAAAAGCAGCUCUCAUCGAUGGAUCAGCCGGCACUAAUGGUGUCAAGUCAGAUGCCAGCUUUUACAGUGAUGACCCUUCAGCCUCAGGAAAUGAUCAGAUUGAUCAGGCCGAAGUGCAAAGCGUCAAACCGGAACAGCGAGAUAAUGAACUGAGCGAGGUGGCAUUAAAGCUUCAAACGGAAAUGGAGGAGAAAUGCUUACUGAGGGAACAACUCCAGACACUAGAGAUGUCCAAGCAGACAGAAAUCACAAAACUACAAGAAGAAAAUACUAAAUUAUGCGAUAAGUUGAAGAAAAAACAAGAGAGCUUCCAGCAGCUACAGGUUGAGAAGGAAGCACUUUACAAUGACAGCAGGACUAAAAUUGAUGAGAUCCAACAGAGGAAAGAGGAGGAGCUCAAAUCCAUAAACCUUCGUAUGCAGAAAGUGCAGACCGAUUUAAUGGCCGCUAACCAGAACGUCGCUGAACUGAAGGAGCAGUUGCAGAGUAAACAGAAAGAGCACGAGAUGGCCAUCCAUGCGCUCAAAGAUCAGGUAGCGUGUCAGAGCGCGAUCAGUCAGGAGCAGGUGGAGGGCAUGCUGAGUGAGAACGAUGCUCUCAGGACAAAUCUAGCAGCCCUAGAACAGAUCCAAACAGUAAAGACUCAGGAACAGAAUUUGCUGAGAGAGCAAAAUCUGGCAUUAAAUGCAGAGCUUCAGCAGAGACGCACAGAUCAGGAGAGCUUCCUGGCGCAGAAAGAUGAUCUCAACUCACAGCUACAGGAGUCGAACCGAGCGAACAGUCGACUUCUGGAGCAGCUCACUGAACUGGGUCUGGAAAAGGACAAGCUACAGCUGGAGUUAGAGGAGGCCAGAAAGACUGCGGAUAAGCGUAAGGUCAUGCUGGAUGAACUGGCCAUUGAGAUGGCGCAGGAGAAGUCACGGCACAAAGAGGAGCUCAGCGACGUGCGCUUGCAGCAUGAGAAGGAAGUGCUGAGCAUCAGGGCCCGCUAUGAGAAGGAGCUCCGCGGCCUCCACGAGGAGAAGAACCGCACAGAAGAGGAGAUCCGCUCCCAGCUACGAGAUGAGAGAGCUCGUACCAAAGAGCUACAGGGUCUUCAGCCAUAUGUGGAGGAGUUGAAAGCUCAGGUUCAGUCUAUGGAGGGGACGAAGGGCUGGUUUGAGCGCAGACUCAAGGAAGCAGAGGAGACCCUAGAAAAGAACAAACUGGAGCAGUCAGAAGAGAUCCAGCGGUUACAGAAAGCUAACACACUCCAGCUGGAGGCUAAAGCUGCAGAGGUGGAGGCAGUCAAACAGCAAGUGACGGAGAUGCAGAAAGAAAGAGAAGAACUCAACAACACGAUCAGCAAACUCAAACAGGAGAAUAAAGAUACAGUGGAUGGACAGAGAAUCCUGGAGAAAAAAGGUAGUUCAGCGCUGAAAGACUUAAAGAGGCAGCUCCAUCUGGAGAGAAAAAGAGCCGAUAAACUCCAGGAGCGCCUGCAGGAAAUCCUAACCAACACUAAGACUCGCACAGGUCUGGAGGAGCUGGUGUUGUCUGAGAUCAAUUCGCCGAGCCGUACGCAGCAGACGGGUGACAGCAGUAGCAUCUCCUCCUUCAGCUACAGAGAGAUCAUGAAAGAUGGGGCUUCGGCUCCCAGCACCAGUAAGUCCAACACCAGCAGCCCUCAGUCCCAGCGUCCUGCUGACCUUUCGGAUGAUGAGGUCAGUGAGCUCUUCCAGAGACUUGCCGAGGUCCAGCAGGAGAAGUGGAUGCUGGAGGAGAAGGUGAAACACUUGGAGGUCAGCUGUGCCUCAAUGGCCGAUGACAUCUGUAAAAAGACUGCCAUUAUUGAGACGUACGUCAUGGACAGCCGAAGAGAUGUAUCCGGAGGAGGCGCAGUGGCCCAUGGUGCUCAGGGUGAACGAGGAGGUUUGAGUUCUGUGCUGAGGGACUUGGUAAAACCUGGAGACGAGAACCUGCGGGAGAUGAACAAAAAGCUGCAGAAUAUGCUGGAAGAGCAACUGACAAAGAACAUGCACCUACAGAAGACUUUCAUUUGAUGCUUCAUGGGGAAUAAAGAGCUGAACCGUGUUGAGCAAUGACUCAUUCAGGUGGCUUCCUGUCAUAUGGUCCUGAGACUCCACUGAGAGGUCUUAUUCAUCAGCAAGCAGAGGGUGGGCGUGUUGUUAAUGCUAAAACGUUUCUAGGAGCAGGAAUAGAAAGUGCACGUCAGGCAGCCAGCAGGGUGAUGCGUUUGAUGGGAUUUACACCAUCACACAGAUUGACUAAUGACAAUUAACCUCUCACACCCCUCUUGAUAUUUCCAGAGCCGCACAUAGUUAAUGGCUGGUUUGUUGCUGUAGUGAAGCCAUGUGUUGGUUUGUUUGAAUUAUAUUAAAAACUAUAUGUGCUGUAAUAUUAUAGUCUCUUAUGCUCACCAAGCCGCAUUUAUCUGCUAAAAAUACAGUAAAAACAGUCAUACUGUGAAAUAUUAUAUAUUUUUUCUAUUUGAAUACAUAUCAAAAUAUAACUAUUCCUGUCCUUUCCAUCUUUGGAUAAAAGCGUCUGCUAAAAUGCAUAUGUGUAUGGUAUAUAUCACGAUGUGCUUUUCUUGACUGAAAAUGAAACCCAAAAGUGUCUUAAAGAUAACAUAACCAUAACAUAUAGUAAUAAAUAUCUAUUUUUGUAUAAUCAAGUGAUUCAAAAGGGUCAUAUGAUACAUGCACGCAGAUAUGUGCAUACAGAAGAUCUGUAAAGUUGCAAAGACUAAAGUCUCAAAUCAAAGAGAUGUUCCUCAUCAAAUUAAAGACUCUGCCACCCCCCCCCCCAAAAAAAUAUGGCUCAUUCAAACACACCCCCACGUCUAUGUCAUUAUGUGGAAAUAUUUGCGUAAUGCUGCCAUGCUGCAAAUGUUCACACAAAGAAAGAAAGCGUGGUUUCAGUAAAACCAGUUAGUGUUGAUGUUAGGUGUUUUGCCAAUCACAAUGCACUGGGUCAGUUGGCCAAUCAGAGCAGACUGCGCUUGUUGGAAGGAGGGACUUUGUAGAAAACAGAGGUUGCAGCACAGAGGACCUACAAUAAUGUAGAGUAUUUGAAAAAUAAUGUGUUUUUUGAACAUUAAAGCAUGUCAACGUAUUCUGUUGAACCAAAUAAGCAAAAUAAUGAUCUUUAAAAAAGCAUCGUAUGACCCCUUUAAAUAAAUAAGAAUUGGAAGGUACUUCAUUUUAUUCCUCUCUGUUUAAAUGUAAGUGGAUGGAUACAAACCAGAAGACUAUUCAUAUAAAAAAAACAGCAUCUUCACGUUAUGUAAGCCUCGAGUUAAAAACAAAGACUCGCAAAAGUAAUACAUUAUACAUUUGAUUGGAUGCGCCACAUUCAGAGACGUUAUAUAUGCACACCUGCCACUUCACAUUCGUUGAAUUCUUUAUUAAUGCACCAAUGUGUGAUGCAUGGUGCUCUGUUUUGUAAAUGCAAAUAAAAUCCUAACUGAGGGGGCGUUUGAGCCGAUGUGAGGCCUGGAGACAGUCUGGAUGUUGGCGGAGUGCAUCUUGUGUAUGUGUGUGUAUUGGUGCCCAAGGGGAGUUGUAGGUUACAAAAACACCCUGCCGUAACCUUGGCAGAGAUAAAACAAUGCAAACUAAGACCAAGAUGGAGUGACGAUCCCUCUGCAAAGCUUAGCCAUAACUAAGAACAGAAAAUUUGCUGCAAUGUAAACCUUUCUAAAUCGACAAUUCUAAAUGAACAAACAUCUUAAGCAUCUUAUGAAGGAUCUAGUCUGGUCAACCUUAGUAAUGGUCAUGUUUGCAAUUUAACACUUAAAAUAUGUUUGUUAUGUGCACACAUGUAAACACUCAGACUCAACUGUAGUUGGAUGAUUAUUAUCAUUACUAAAUGUAGUAACUUCAUAGUGGUGCUUCAUAGCUAAAAGCCUUAACAAUAUAUAUAUCAUGAUGAUAAUUGAAUUUUUAGCCAUCCUCAUGCUUUGGAUUACAUGCACUUAAACGUGUUGAAUGCUGCAGCUUGUGUUGUUGUGGGUGGUGUUCGAUACAGAAACGCACUGGAAAACGAUCCUGCAGUGAACGCCCAUGAUGCAUCUAGCUCAUUAACAGCAGAUUAAGGAUUCGUUUUUCCUGCAGACAAGAUGAGAAAAAUCUGGAGAUGCUUAAUAUCUACAGCAGAUCAAGACAUUCUACAAAGCUUCCUGUUUUUCUCUCUGUCUCUCAUGGUGUUCAUCACACCAUCAAAACCCUUGUUAAGUGCUUUUGAAGCUUAUAUCACACUGAUGCCACUUUACAAGGCAAAAGACACCAAGAUACAUUUGUCCCCAGGGUUCAGUUGCAUUAACAUAGCACUGUUAAGACUGUGUUUUAUGAGCUAAUUUGAUUAAAUGAGCAGUUAGCCAAGAGGUAAUCCGUUUUAAUUUUUGGAUUCAGAUUAGGUCAAUCAACCUUUUUUGCCUUUAGAAAGUUAUAAGCAGUAUUGAGGAAAACAAAUUAGUUGACUUACUUAAGACUAGUCUUAGCAGUUUAUGCAACCAGCCUGAUCAUUUUAAAAGGCUGGAAGUUAUGAUAUAAGUUUUUUGAAACAUAAUUUUUUUUAAAUAAACAUUUUCAUGAGUUAUUCACCCAACCACAGCCCAGUUUUAAUUUUAAUUGGCUCAUUUUCAUUUUGUUAGACUUAAAUAAUUUUCAAUAAUCUCAGUGAUUAUAAUCAUUACUGUAAUACAGUAUUUUUACAGUAACAAUCUGUUGUAACAUUUGUUUGACUUUUUUUCCCAAUUACCAUUAUUAUAUUAAAAAUUAUAUACUCAGUUUUAAUUAUCAUUAGAUUGUCAUUGCCAAAAUAAAGCAAUAAGCUCCAAGAACCCUUGGUUUACAUUGAAUUUAUAACAGCUAAGGGGCGUUGUUAGGCUAGAUGCAAAGCAGAGUGACUAAAACCAAAGACUAUAGAAUAUCCAAGACAUGUCCCUCAUAUGGUUUUGAAUGGGGAAAAAUGCAACGCUCAACAUGGACACUCAAUUGCAGGAAGCCCCGCCUUUUGAAUGAAAGAGCCAAUCGCUAAUCAGUAAAGUUAGCGUGUCACUGCAGCUGCCAUUACAAGUCCCGGUUGCUAUAGAAAUAGCGUUCUGAGACGUGUGCUUUUUUAAAUAAGCUUUUUAUAAUGCUAUUUGAGCAAAGGAAACAACGUUUAUGACACAGUUGAUGUCAGAUUUCCUUGGUGUUUUCAAAUAUGAAAUUUAAUCAUAAGCAUAAGUUUUGGAGAAUUUGAUGUUUCCCCAUACAAAGAGAUAGGAGCUGCACUUGCAUGCCCGAGAGGCGUUUGAAAGAUGGCCACUGAGUCACAUGACUUGUCUUAAAGAGACUUUGCUAAAACCCCCUUAUACAUUCACCGUAAACCAUGGCUUCACGGGACUUAUAGCUUUUGUAAAACGGUUAUUCCAUAUACAUAGGAAGGUUUCACAAAAUAAAACAGAGCAAAUAAAGUGUAAUGAUUUUAAUAAAAACUGUAUUGUUCCACCAAACACAUUUGCUGUAGUGCCUCAGAAUCAGUUGUGGUUGCAACAAAGUUGUUGCCAAGCAACACAGAAAUGAUAACAAAUGUGUAAGAUUGUAUUGACUCAGCCAAUCAGAAUCAACGACUGGAACUAUCUGUUUUAUAAUACAGUAUUUUUACAGCAAGUUAUACAAUUUAAGU